CGCACCGAGAGACUUCACCGAACCCAAAGGGCGUGCGCUUGCUCUCUCCGAAAACCACAGCGCUGGCUACUGAAACCCCUGAAAUCAGAAAUACUCUAACCAAAGGAUGAAACAGGGAGAAGAGAGGCGGUGCUGGGGAGGGAAUCUACUUCUGAAGUUGUCCCUGGGCUUCCAUUGUUCAGUGUUCCUCCUGGGAAAAAAUGACUUCAUAUUCCACACUGCUUCUUCUACUUCAUGCCCCUUUUUAACAGCUCUGAUAUAGUUGCUUCAUUUGUUCAUAUGUUGUGUUACAGGAACUGCAAAUAUAAAAUAAAAUUCCCCCAAA